UUGCUUUUUUUCUUCCCCUCUUGUUACCUUGAUCUUUGGCUUAUUUACCAUAGUUUAAAAGAAAAUUGUAAGGGUUGUGCUGAUACAGGUGAGUUGGCAAGCGUACGUGCUCUCUGUCUAUUUUCUUUCUCUCGUGCUUCUGUUGUCUUCACUUUACCUCUGCGCAGGUCUUGAGCCCCAACUCAAGUGGUUUGCUGUUGUUGAUUGGUUGGUUGUGUUUUUUCUUUUCUCUUCUUUUCUUUUCUUUUCUUUUUUUUCUCCCUGUUGUUAGAAACUCAGCCUAGGGCUUCAGACCGCUGCACAAGAUGUGUAAACUGAGCUUUGUGCCCAGACCAGCCUUCGCUUUAACAGCUGCUUACCUCAUUAAGGAUUCAAAUAAAGAAGGAAAUCUGCAUUUCCAAUGUUCUUCUGACUUCAUCUUAUAUUUGAAGUGUAUUUGCUAUGGGUUCUAGUUCACAUAUAUUUUACUUCAUACUUUUAAUGUUUUAUAAAAGUAACUUUAUCUUUUCUUCCAAUUAUUUCUGAUUGUAAGUCUAACCCUAUCUUCUCCUUGGAUGGUGUUAUUUUUGAUUUCUUCUGAUGAUUAAGAUUUUUUUUUGCAGUUGAGUCCUGCCAUUUUGACUGUAAUGCUUUUCUUACCAGCAGUUUAUGUUUUAUUAUUUUCUUUUAAUUGAUUCUCAUUAAGGUUUAUUUUAUUCCUAGAUCUUUUUUUAACCACAAGAAAAAAAAAGAUUAAAAAAAAGUCUUUUUUUUUUUUACCUAGACAUAAAACCUGUACAAUAAUUUGUCCACUGUUUCUUUUAUUAUUUUCCUGAAGCCCAUAUCUGCCCUCUGUGUAUCACACUGGUGGGUUUUUCCUCCUUGGUCAUUAAGAUGUGUAUCUUACCCUGGGCUUUCCCUCUGCCUCCUUCAGUCUGGCUGCUUUCUGUUACUGGUUAUAUCCAGGUAACCUUUUUUUUUUUUUUUCUUUUUUCUUUUUCACUCUUGCCUGUCCUGUCUCUAUAAUUUCUGGCUUGGCUCACUUAUUUCUUUGUUCUAGCUAAAAUAGGACUUGCAUAUAAUACAUUGUAGUGAGGCUUGCACUUUUUGAAAAGUAUACUUAAAAGAUGGUUUUAUGCUUGGGGGUUGUUAGAUAAGUCAGUGAUAGAGCACCUGCAUCACGUGUGUGAGGCUACGGGUUCGGUCCCAGCACUAUAAGGAGGACUGGAAUAUAUGUAAUUUUAUCAAUUAUUUUAUUCAAAACACUUGUUUGUUCUUUGGAACAAUUAGACUGUAAAGUUGAAAAGAACUGCAAGGUUUCCUAUCAGUAAGUAUAGUCUAACCUAAUAUCCAGAUGUAGGCUACUAAUAGGCUUGUGAAAAUGAACGAGGGCUAGUACUGAACUGCUAGCCAGGCCCCUUAGCUUUCAUUUUGUCUGGAAACCAGCGCAUGAGCCUCCAGGCUGAGUAAUCAUGACUUCACAGUGCGGCUAUGGGAAGAAUGUACACUCUUGACUGAAUGAACAAAAAGGGUCCUGCUGUGUGACCCUCCCUGGUCAGAAACUCCUUAUGUAGUCUGCCCAGCUAGGUUGUUCCGGAGCUUGCUAAGUAGCUGGGAAUAAACAAACUUCCUGUACUCUUGCCUGUCCUGUCUAAGUUCCAGAUUACAGGUGUGAGUCACCAUGCCCACUUUAUGUGAGUGGCCAGGGCCUUAUGCUUUCAUGCGAGGCAGGCCCCCUGAACAAUCAUCUGUAGGGGAAAAAUUCUAAAAUUGGUGAGACUUUACUCUUUUAAAGUUAAAACUAUAUCCAAGAAGUAUAUUUUAUGGUGUGAUAUAUUUGGUUUGUAUUUUAAUCUGCUUUGGAAUGGAAGUGUCUGCCUCCCACAGCCGGGAGCCUAGAGUUGGAAGGAACCUAGGCUUGCCAGGCAAGGGUUGUACCAGCUAGCUCCACCACUUCCAAACCAACACACACAAACACACACACACACACACAUAUGCACGUCCCUUUUUUAAAAAUCCAGCUGUAUCUGUAGCCAAAAGAAAAGAACAGUCAAACUCUUGGAUUUUCUUCAUUUUUAAUUACUGCCAUCAUAUGCCUUUCUUGUCUUUUCUCAGGUUAAAAGUAUUGUUUUUUUGUUUCUGAAACUACAUCUCACUGUGUAGUCCCGACUGGCCUAGAACUCUUGGCAAAGCCUCAGUGACCUGCUUCCCGCCCACUAUGCCUGACUGCGUUACCGUUUAAAUAUUGGGUUUGCUAGAUAUCAUUAUAUCCUUAGUUUCGUGGUUAAAUAUGACAUUAAGAAACCUAAUUGAGGGUGCCUGAAUUUUGGGGUGCCAAUGUAACCUAGAUAUAUAGGAUUCAUGUAUGAACUUGCCAAAGAAU
rnacentral:lncRNA from 1 species